GACGAACGCUGGCGGCGUGCUUAACACAUGCAAGUCGAACGCUGAAGCGUGGUGCUUGCUCUGGGUGGAUGAGUGGCGAACGGGUGAGUAAUACGUGAGUAACCUGCCCUUGACUCUGGGAUAAGCCUGGGAAACUGGGUCUAAUACUGGAUACGACAUGUCACCGCAUGGUGGUGUGUGGAAAGGGUUUUACUGGUUUUGGAUGGGCUCACGGCCUAUCAGCUUGUUGGUGGGGUAAUGACUCACCAAGGCGACGACGGGUAGCCGGCCUGAGAGGGUGACCGGCCACACUGGGCCUGAGACACGGACCAGACUCCUACGGGCGGCAGCAGUGGGGAAUAUUGCACAAUGGGCGGAAGCCUGAUGCAGAGACGCCGCGUGAGGGAUGACGGCCUUCGGGUUGUAAACCUCUUUCAGCGCGGAAGAAGCGAUAGUGACGGUACGUGCAGAAGAAGCGCCGGCUAACUACGUG
rnacentral:rRNA from 1 species